CCAAUAGUUGAUAUUGUUUCGGUAUGGAUCCAAAUCUGGUACAAGAGACUCAACUGUUGAUGCACCAUUAACAAGACUGGUGGAACAAAUAAAGCCAAAGGAGCAUAGCACACCUAACAACGUUUUAAUGUGAAAUUGAAAUUGUCUACCAUGACUGGCUCUGUGCAUCCAAUAAUAACAAAAAUCAACCGCAAUCGCCGAAAAAUACCAGAAAGCUAUAGAAUUCCAAGAUCCAAUUUACCUGUGCGUAUAUAUGUGGGAUGGUGAUCACAUUCGAGAUGGUCUUUGGUACAAAAAUGUUACCAAUAGAAGAGAGAACGGUUACAAAUAUCGGAACUAUCUACAUAAGUCGUGAACAAAUUUCUGAAGAUGGACGUUGAGUAGCUGAAAUGU